rnacentral:rRNA from 1 species
UGGGGAAUUUUGGACAAUGGGGGAAACCCUGAUCCAGCCAUCCCGCGUGUGCGAUGAAGGCCUUCGGGUUGUAAAGCACUCUUGGCAGGAAAGAAACGUCAUGGGUUAAUACCCCGUGAAACUGACGGUACCUGCAGAAUAAGCACCGGCUAACUACGUGCCAGCACCCGCGGUAAUACGUAGGGUGCAAGCGUUAAUCGGAAUUACUGGGCGUAAAGCGUGCGCAGGCGGUUCGGAAAGAAAGAUGUGAAAUCCCAGAGCUCAGCUUUGGAACUGCAUUUUUAACAACCGGGCUAGAGUGUGUCAGAGGGAGGUGGAAUUCCGCGUGUAGCAGUGAAAUGCGUAGAUAUGCGGAGGAACACCGAUGGCGAAGGCAGCCUCCUGGGAUAACACGGACGCUCAUGCACGAAAGCGUGGGGAGCAAACAGG